UGCUUUCUUGUUAUCCGAUCUCAGCUUAUUGUCUGUCUCCACGAUGUCUUCAUAGACGGCGGCGCCGUAGCUACUGUUCGAGUGAAUGCAACUUGACGCUAAAUUGUGAACCCUAAAACGGAGACCAGUUGAUGACUCAGCGUGCGAUCUUCAUUGCCUUGUCGCCAUAUUCCUUCCGUUUCGAGCGUGUGUGAAGGCGUACGGCGAACGCAAGUUGUCAGUGAUUCCGGCAAAAUAAUUAACCGCCAACUUCCAAAAAUGUGCAUAAGGUUACAGUGCUCGUCUCCCUUCUGGGUGUCGUUUUGGCUGGCCCUCCAGGGUACAGCGGACAUACCCAGGCAACUUACGG